rnacentral:misc_RNA from 1 species
UUUCCGUAGGUGAACCUACGGAAGGAUCAUUACAGUGUUCUCUGCCCUCACGGGUAGAAACGCCCACCCUUGUGUAUUAUAUCUUUGUUGCUUUGGCAGGCCGCCCUCGGGCACCGGCUCCGGCUGGAUCGCGCCUGCCAGAGGAAACCCAAACUCUGAAUGUUAGUGUCGUCUGAGUACUAUCUAAUAGUUAAAACUUUCAACAACGGAUCUCUUGGUUCUG